rnacentral:sRNA from 1 species
UCAUAUACCUCUGCGUACGAUGGCCAAAC